CUAUAGUCUAAUCGGCGCUCUUUCCACUUUCUGGACUAGUGUCGCGUCAAAAGAAUUCCAUUCUUCUAGACCAGGGAGUUUACAUUAAAUAGCCAUUAGGUGGCAGUAAUGGACAUUUUGAGCACCAGUUUGACAUUUUGCGAUCAGUUUGAGAAAAGCAAGGCAGAAGUUCAUUAACAGCAAACAGCCCCUUUCUAUUUUAGUUUUUCAAAUCCGAUUUUCUUCGGCUGGUGUCCUGUCCUCUCUGAAUAGCGUUGUACAUAAACCGCAAAUAUUAGCAAAGACAUUCUUUUAAUUCGUUUAUUUCAACAGAGAAGCGAAAUGUCUACAACACCGGUUCCUUGACUUAGGCCUGCAAAAUCUUUGAGUAAAACAAGUGAACGGAGUGGCUAAAACAAAAACAAACAAAACAAAAAAAAAAAAAAGAAAACUUUGAAACGACAUUGGCUGUGUGCGCACCAGAGACUAAAAAAUAGGUGCGCACACUGACCGCAUGUGUAAUUAGUUGCAGAGGGCCUAUUGAUGCGAAUAAGGCUGCAGUAGGCUAUUGGAUUCAGGAAGUUCUCUCCGCACGCCUUUUGUCGGGAUCUUGAGCAUGGACUCCAGCAGAAAAAAGGACCAAGGCUCCUCUUCUGCCUUCUCUUUACAUCUCUUCCUGGCCAGAUAUGGGAAGGUGCUGCCGGGGGUUCGUUACCUGCGGGACAACGAUGGGAUCUGGACGGGGAAAAGGCAGUUCAGGGUCCUCCUGAAUGAAGACCCGCAGGGGUUUGACGGGCUAGAGCACUCCCCAGCUUAUUUUUCCAUCAGGGCUGAGAGGGGCUACCUGUUUUCCUUCGGGCAGCCUAGUUUCUGCAGGCAGUGCCGGAGUGUCGGUCACAUGGCAGGUCCGUGUGGUCAGGCGGUGUGCAGGAACGGUGGGGAGAAGGGGCACGUGGCGGUGGCGUCCCCCAAGCCGAGGAUGUGACACAGCUGCGGGCGGGCCACGAAUUCCACGACUGCCCUGGGAAGGAGAAGGGGAGGUCCUACGCGGGCGUGGCGGCUGGUCGGGAGGGUGCUCCUGGCGAAGGCCCUCAGGACCUGCGGCCCCUGGAGGAGGUGCCGGGGGAGGUGAGAGCGGCGCAGUAGGAGGCGGCGGUGAAGCUGAGGAAUAGUUUUUCCGCGCUGGAGGGGAGCGAGGGGGAGCCUGGGCCCUCAGGGGUUACGGGCACUACGCGGGAGUUUCUCAGCGGCCGGUCUGAGGGACUGGGUGCAGGGGGAGCGGAGUCCCCCAUGAGUGAGGAGCACUCCUACAGUCCGCCGGGGUCACCCGAUGACGCCCCAUUCCUUGUCUUGGACUCUGGGGUCUGUGGAGGGGGCACACUGAUGUAAGUUUUGAAUUUUUUUCUUCUUUUUUUUUUUUUGUAUGUUUUAAUGGAUUUAAUUAUUGUCACUGUUAAUGUUAGAGGGUUGCGGGCUGGGGGGAGGGUGGUAAAACUUUUGCAGUAUGCGAGCGACACCACCCUCCUGCUGGAAGAUGAGGUCAGCCUAAAAAGGGCUUUAGCGGUUAUCAGUUUGUUUUCGAAGGCCUCAGGUUCAAAAAUAAACCUGAGUAAAUCCACGGUAAAGUAUUUUGGGGAGUGGGAGGGGAGAACAGGAGGUUUAUAUGGUUUAGCGGGGUGUCCAGGACCAGAGCCGCGGACACCGGGUCACUUGUCCCGGGCCCUGGGUCAAGGGGGGGCCCAAAAGGUUUUUUUUUUUGUCCCCAUGUAAAUCUGACGUGAAUCUAAAUCUAUGGACAACUUCAAAGCAUUAAAGUUGGGAAUGAUUACAUGUCUCAGUGUGUUGCUGUAUUUCAUCUUUUGCACACGGGGGGGGGGGGCUUUUGUGAUCAUCUUGUCCCGGGCACGAGCGAGACUCGCGUCGGACCUGUCCGGGAACGUUUAGAGUUUUGGGGGUUGAUUUUGGGACGAAGGAGGAGGUUGAGGAAAAUUGGGCGGGAAGAAUUUGUAAAAUAAAGGGUAAAUUGGGGCUGUGGCAGACGAGGCAGUCAAGUUUUGAAGGGAAAAUUUUAGUUGUUAAAGCGGAGGUUUUGCCGUCACUUUUGUUUUUGGCAUGGGUUUUUCCUCUGCCCCCGAAGGGGAGGAGGACCGUGCAGGAGAUUGUGUUUAAGUUUUUGUGGGGGGGGGGGGGGGUU